rnacentral:rRNA from 1 species
GGCGGACGGGUGAGUAAUGCUUGGGAACAUGCCUUGAGGGGGGGACAACAGUUGGAAACGACUGCUAAUACCGCAUAAUGUCUACGGACCAAAGGGGGCUUCGGCUCUCGCCUUUAGAUUGGCCCAAGUGGGAUUAGCUAGUUGGUGAGGUAAUGGCUCACCAAGGCGACGAUCCCUAGCUGGUUUGAGAGGAUGAUCAGCCACACUGGGACUGAGGCACGGCCCAGACUCCUACGGGAGGCAGCAGUGGGGAAUAUUGCACAAUGGGCGCAAGCCUGAUGCAGCCAUGCCGCGUGUGUGAAGAAGGCCUUCGGGUUGUAAAGCACUUUCAGUCAGGAGGAAAGGUUAGUAGUUAAUACCUGCUAGCUGUGACGUUACUGACAGAAGAAGCACCGGCUAACUCCGUGCCAGCAGCCGCGGUAAUACGGAGGGUGCGAGCGUUAAUCGGAAUUACUGGGCGUAAAGCGUAC